CUUUAAACUAGUCAUCUCCUUGAGGCAACUCUCUUGCUCUUGGUAAAAAAGCAAGAGGUCCCAUGCAAUGUUAUAUAAAAUAAAAGUUAAAAGUCAUGCACCGCCCAAAUCUAGGCGGAGAAAAAAGUGAAGGAAUGAAAAGAAAAGGCGAUCCACUAAUUGAUUAAUUAAAGUGGGAGGAUGGCGUAGCCUCUAAGUCUUCCAUGAAGGGGAAAAUUUUACUGAAACCAUCUUCAUAUUGGUCUAACCAUGACGGAAGUCUUCAGACCUAACUUUGCGGCAUCGCCGUCGCCUCCUUCUUGUUGCGAAAAUCGGCCGAGACAAACAGCGACGGGAAACAAAAUACAAUCCGAUUCGAUUUCGUUUUCAAUUUCGGUUUCGAUUCAGAAUGAAGGGAGCUCAAACGAAAGAAAGCUAAUGGAGAACCUGAAAGAUUGCGGCGAUGGAAAGGAAUUUUUCAUAAAAGUUUGCGUAUAUGAAAGAAGCUGAAUAAACACCGGAUGCGAUUCCAGACGGUGAAAUUCGCUGUCCCGCCGGAACUAAUUUAUCAGCCUAAGAAAAGUAAUAGAGCCGCCGGAAAAUAUGGCGGUGAGAGUCUUCGUCGCAUAGUACGCCUAAAACAAACUGGUACGCUUCUAUAUGCCAAUAUCGCUGCAAUUAUCAAUCGAAUAUUAGUUUGUCACAAAUAUAGUUUUAAAUU